GUGGGAGCCAGCCUGCUGGCGAUUGAACGAUAACGCGGUGUGUCUGAUAUACCGCGCUGGCUGAAUCGCCAGCAGGCUAGCUCCCAC
rnacentral:misc_RNA from 1 species